AGGCAGGCAGCAAAACCACUGAACUAAAUCCCCCCCGGAUGGGUUCCUUGCUUAAGCUGCAUGAAAAGAAAAAGAUUCCACUGAGCCUACAGAGAGCAGAGUCCAUUCGUGAUAGUGAAAGUCAUCUACACAACAACACUCUUGUCUCUUAUCACUCUCACACCAGCCACAAAGGUUUUCAAAGUGACCCAUGUUAGAGGAGGAAGAUAGAACUUUGAGAGCCCCAUCUGCCACCCCAAAGCCACCAUCCUCUCAUCCUCGGCCAGCACAAACCUUUACAGGAACAAGCAGCAGCCAAAUACACCCCAGAAAUUACUUGGAGACAUCUGUGAGCAUCCGUGCAGUCCACCCAACCCAUAACAGUAGCUACAACCACUGUCUUCAUCAACUAUAGCACCACUCAUGUACUCCUGCCCGGAGACCCAGAACACCACCAGGACAUGAUGCUCUGGAUCUCAUGGAACAUGACCUCAUCUGAUGGAUAGAAAGUUUAACAUCUUCAUUUCAUCCUGGUCCUUCCACGACUGGUAGCAAGAGGCUGAGUGGGCUUGGAGACCCAAGGUCUACACCCUCUGGGAUGGUGCAAGGAGCUCUAGGAAGGAGAAGACAUGGGAACAGUUCUUGCCUUUGCCAUUGUAACAUCAGAGAAGCUGCUGAUAUUGCACGACAAUGAGCAGCACUUUACACCGUCAGAGAGUGGGCUGCCGUGGAUCUACAGGCUGUUGGUUUGCCGGCCACGAUCUAAACACACGGCCCCGUCUAUCAGCCUCUGUACCUGGCAGCUUCUGUGACCCUCAGAAUUUGGUGUGGCACUGACCUCCUCCUCCAGGCUCUGUUCCUGACCGUAAGUCUCCAGUGUAAGUUGAUUCGCCUGCUGCCUACACUCAUGGCACCCUUCACUGCCCAGGGCAUGGUCCUGCCUGCCCUGGACCUGCUGCUCAGUCCCCAUCUUCUCCUUCCACUCACAUUCCCAACCUUCUAGCAGAGGAUGCUACACAAAUUUAAAUUUGGAAAUGAGUACAUGAAAGGAUAAAUGGAUGGAAAUCCUCAAGUGAAUCAACUAAAACUUUUACCUAUAUAAACCAGUGACUAAAUUUAUAAUUAAAACAAAAAACUAUACGCUUUUUCUCCCAGCUUCUUCGUCACAGACAUAGGAAGAAAGUGGGAAGGAUUUGUCCACUGGGGAAGAAUUAUUGUUUUCUUAAACCUCAAACUCUAAAGGAUGAAAAUGAUUUGUGAGCAGAAUCUCUAGAAGCUGAGAAUUGGGAAUAUAAAUAAAGCUAAAGAAAAAAAUCUCUUAAGAACCAAAUAAAAUGAAUGCUAGGGAAAUUGUGUCUUAGUCUUAUAGAGCUGCUACAAUAAAAUACCACCAGCGGCGGUUUUUAAGUAAGAAAUGUCCACUUCCAACUGUUCUGGAGCUGCAGACCAGGAGGAAGGCACAGCAGCUGGCAUUAGGCUCGGGUGGCACAUGCACUGGGGAGCAGCCCUCCACACCCUUGCCGGCCCCUGGUAGCUGCGUCUUUUCCAUGAUGUCCAUUCCAACUGUGAUAUCUCAUUAUGGUUUUGAUUCACCUCUCCCAGAUGAUCAGUAAUGCUGAUCAUUUUUCAUGCACAUUUGGCUAUUUGUCUGUCUUCUUUUGAGAAAUGUCUAUUUAGAUUUGUUGCCCAUGUUGCAAUUGGGUUAUUUAGGUUUUUUGCUAUUGAAUUCUUGGAGUUCCUGAUGUAUUCUGGAUGUCAAAACCUUCUUAUAUGUGCAUUUUCAAAAAUAUUUUCUCCCAUUGUUGGUUGUGUAUGCCCUCUGUUGAUUGUUUCCUUUGCCGAACUGAAGCUUUGAGGUUGACAUGAUCCCAUUUUUUUAAUUUGCCCUUUGAUUUCCUAUGCUUUGGGGUCUCAUCCAAAAAACCCUUUGCCAUUCCAAAGUGGUGAAGCAUUUCCCCUAU